AGCUUUCUGAAUCCUUAUCGAGGUUUCGUCAGAUGCCAGACCAUUAGAACUGGUUAGACUCCUAAGAUAUGUGGAGCA
rnacentral:pre_miRNA from 1 species